rnacentral:tRNA from 1 species
AGAAGGAGUGGCGUGGCCCAACUUCAAAACCGGCGGGAGGCGGGUUUGCCCCGUCUUCGGUGGGUUCGACUCCCACUCGCUUCCGCCA